UACGUAGGUGUCAAGCGUUGUCCGGAUUUAUUGGGCGUAAAGCGCCCGCAGGCGGCUUGCCAAGUCUGACGUGAAAUCUCUCGGCUCAACCGGGAGGGGCUGUCCGAUACUGCUGGGCUUGAGGGCAGUAGAGGGUGGUGGAAUUCCGGGUGUAGUGGUGAAAUGCGUAGAUAUCCGGAGGAACACCAGUGGCGAAAGCGGCCACCUGGACUGUACCUGACGCUGAGGCGCGAAAGCUAGGGGAGCAAACGGG
rnacentral:rRNA from 1 species